GAGACGCUAGCUCAUUCGGUAGAGCAACUGCCUUUUAAGCAGUGGGUACCGGGUUCGAUUCCCGGGCGUCUCA
rnacentral:tRNA from 1 species